CCGAAUCUACAAACUUUUUUUCCACUUUUAUUGGCUUUUUUAAGACAUGACAUGUCCUUAUGCCGAUGCUUUUGGUAUUCAACAUACGGAGCUAAUUCAGAGUCUGUGACAUCUACUGUAAUAUGUUUGUUAAUGAAGGCUAUAACUGUUGAAAUUGACUCUGUACUGGUUAAGUCCACUGCUGGGGCAUCUUUCAGCCAAAACAUGCCGUGAAUAUGGGGGGAACCUCUUUGUUGGAAUUCAACACGCCAAUAAUAUUUGAUGACGAAGUUUUCCCCGAAAAUGCCCUCCCGAUUCCUCAUAACUUUUAAAAUCUCGCGAUACCUAUAAUCGAAAUACCUAGCACAAGUAACUGGAUCUGCCCUGAUAAGACGCUCCUUUUCGGUGUAGGGUAGAUUCACUGCUUCUUCUUCGCUAAUGAUCUCCCUAUCUACGUUUUUUUUUUAGCAAAACAAGCAACUCUGGCCACCGCGUUUCAGCAGCAGACAGAGUAAUGAAAAAAGUCGGCAGGCCGAACUGACGAAUCAUGGCCAUAACCUUCUUCUUUUCAUCCUCCCAGUGAGCCGGAGACGAUCGAAUAUCGCGAAGAACCCUAUAUCCCUCAUCGUGGUUAAUAAGCCCCCCUAUGAAAUUCUCAUUAAGAGCGUUAGCUGCCGUUACUGCACUGGAAGUGCUCCGCUUACUUUGUCAGUUCUACAACCUCUCCUAUCUACAUUUCGAAGCUCUGAUCUAACAAUGGUUGUAAAACUUUGCGAAGAUUGUCUUUUGACGCCUGCAUAAAUUGUGGGAAAGGAUAACUCUUCCGAGUCAAUGUCUAGAAUCAUGUCGAGAGGUCGUUGGCCUUGACCUGGUGCGAUUUUGAUAAUCCUAUCAUCAAAUGGCUGCGUCUGCUUGAGAUGCUACGAAUGGAACAAUAUCGGAUGUGAAACCAGAGAUCCAUUGCUCGUUAACUACAACAUUAUGCUUUUUAUACAAAUCUGUGGUAACUAAAUAACGAAGUGCUUCAAAAAUUUUGGAAGGUCUAAUGGUUUCAGCCAUGAAAGCAUGAAGAUACUCUUUUCUGCGUUUGAGGUGGAGCUGAAUUACCUGGGCUUCAUGGAAAGCUCGUGGAAGCUCCUUCAUGAUAUCGCUUACCGAAAUAGGGAAGUUUACCACUGCCCCUUUAAUGGCAUUUUGACCUCGCCCCCAGGCAAUAUAGGCUUAAUUAUCAUAAAUGGAAGUCGAGGAGAAAUCAGUCGUUCCUCUAAUGGAGUAAGCCCCUUUAAGCAGUCGGGCAGCAUAGGGAAAUCUAAUUCAUUGAAGAAAAGCUUAGGCUUUAUACGCUUCUUAAUGUUGCUAUGACAUGUUCUGCAGAAUUUUAAUGUUGGGCAAUCAGAAGGGAAUUCUAAAAGGCUUUCAAGAUCGAAAUUUUCACCA